GGAUUGUAACUCAGUGGUUAUGUACCCUGGAUUCAGUUCCCAGUAUCAAAAAAAAAAAAAAGAGGGUACAUGCCCAGCCACAUACAGUACCCUGAGCACAGAGGUCUAUAAAUGAGGACAGAUGCUAAAGGUGGACAAGAAGGACUUCUCUGCCACACAAAGGUGGUCCUGGCUGCAUGCACAUUUGUAGAGUCACCUCACACUUACUGAACCCAAAUAUGUCUCUGGACCUGAGCUGGGUGCUGGAAGGCUCACCCUUCAAGUGGCCAGGAGAAUAUUUAUCCUACUUCACUUCUGAAUCAUGAGAUGUGCUUGGGAAGUGCUGAGCCUUGUGUUCCUCUGGCAUGGAAACUUGACCACUAUAUGUGGGUAUCUAGAAAGGGCCCUGCUAAAAGCUGGGAGAGAGUCAGGCGUCAAGGUGAUCCCAACAGUUCCAACAUGGCUUGACAAACACCAUAAUAGACAAACACUGGAGCUGGUGCUGGGCCCAGGUUCUGGGAACUGAGAUUCUGCAUCAGCAUUCUCUGUGACAUGUUACCAUAAUACACAUGGACAGAAGCGUUGAAAUGUGUGCAGCAAACCCCCACUUACUUAUCACGGAGAGUCUACCAUUUUGCCCUAUUUGCUUAUCAAGGGUCUCUCUUCCUAUCUGUGUCCAUCAGCUCUUCCUUUACAUGUGAAUUUCAAAUUAAUUUGCAAACAAACAUCAGUACACUUCACCUCUAAUUUCUUCAGCAAUUCAUAUCCUUAAGUUCAAUAUUUGUAAUUUCAGAGAACAUUUACAUAUGAUGGAAUACCCACACCUUAAGGAUGCCAUUCAAAGAAUUUUGUUUUACAUUAUAUGUGCCUUUAUUUCAGAAACUGAAGAGCUUUUUUUUUUUCUUUCUUUCUUCUUUCAGCAUUUGGAAUGGAACCCAGGCCUCAUGAAUGCUAGGCAAGUGCUCUAUCAUUGAGCUACAUCCCAGUCCUUUAAUUUUGAGAAAGGAUCUUGCUGCAUUUCUCAAGUUGGCCUCAAACUGACAAUCCUCCUGCUAAAGCUUCCCAUAUGGCUGGGAUUACAGGUCCAGAACACCAUUUCUCCUAUUUCUCAUGAAUACCACCCAGGGCAGAGAGCACCUUCCUUGUACAGAUGGAGAAACUGAGGCUAUCAGAGUGGGGAGAACUGGUGGCAGGGGCUUGACUCCAGUCUGGCCAUCGGACCCACUGUAGGCUGCAGGAAGUAAGUCUGAAGCAUUUAAUGUGGCACACUUUGGGAGCUGGCUCCUCAGGGAGACCAUUAGCCAUGCCUUGGCAGCAUCCUCAAUCAAUACUCUAGAAGCUGCUGCGCAGGAGGCCAAGUCCCUGGCACACAGGAAGCUCCUCUCCUUUCCCAGGACCACACAUCAGCCAGGUCUCUUUCAAAUGCUGUGGAGUCCUGCUGGUCCCCUCCUCAGCUCUGAUUCUGGAAGUGUGGUCCUGUGGCUGUCGUGACAAAUUACCAUGACCUGGGAGCCAAGAACAACAGGAAUCCAUCCUCACAGUUCUGGAGGCAAAGGCCCAGCAUUAACCAGUGGACAGGCUGGUUCUCUGGAGGCUCAGGGAUCCUGUUCCAUACCCCUGUCUUGCUCCUGGAGGCUCCUCAUGGCCCUUGAUGCUGCUUGGUCUGCAGACACACCUCUCUGGUCUCCGUCUUUGUGGCAACAUGCUCUUCUUUUUUGUGUCUCCAUGUGUAAAAUUUCUCCUCCUCUUCAAGGACACUGUCCUUUGGAUGUAGGGCUUCCCUAAAUCCUGGGUGACCUCCUGAGAUCCUUGACACCCACAAGGACCUGAUUCCAAGUGAGGUUACACUCAGGAGAGGGAUAAGAUGUGGAUGCAAGUUUUGGAGGCCCUCUCAGCGGUCAGAGGCCUCUCCACAGGCAAGCUGGUCGGGAGGCCACAGUCCUCCUAGAUGGAGGAGGCAAGUACAUCUCCUGAGGGUCGACUGCUGAUCUGUUCUCAGUGUAGCUCCAUCCCAGGGCCUGUUCUUUUUUUGCUUUUAAUUAAAUCUAUUUAUUUUUUAUUUGGUACUGAGGAUUGAACCCAGAGGCACUUUACCACUGACUUGCAUUAAAUUAAUUUUCAGUUGAUAUAUAGCAACGUAAAAAUUGUAUGUAUUUAUAAGGUGUCAUGAGCUGUUUCUAUACAUGUGAGCACAAAGCCUCUUCAAGGAGAAGGAGGAGGAAGACAAUUGUUUUCAGCUUGUCCUGGCAGAUGCUUUUUGGGGCCAUGGGCCACCUCUUGUGCUGGCAGGUGCCCUGGGCAGAAAAUGCUCCUUGACCUGAAUAUCUAACAGACCAAUGAACUUUCCCACUGAGGCCCAGCUUGACCAUCAGCCCUCAGUGAAACAAGCUUAUCUGUCAGCAAGUCCUGGCCUCUGUGAGGGCUCUCUGCAAGCUGGAAUGCUCUCGGCCUAUCACUACAGCAGCACUGCCUAAGGAAGUCACACUGUGAACCCUAGUGUCACUGGAAAUUUCCUGAAAGCCACAAUUAAAAAAAAAAAAAAAACAAGAUAGGCACUAUGGCACACACCCCUAAUCCCAGCCACUCGGACUUGGGAAG